UGAGUAACGCGUAUCCAACCUUCCCCUUAGUAGGGCAUAGCCCGGCGAAAGUCGGAUUAAUACCCUAUGUUGUUUGAUGCGGACAUCUAAAUCAAACCAAAGAUUUAUCGCUAAGGGAUGGGGAUGCGUCCGAUUAGCUUGCCGGCGGGGUAACGGCCCACCGGGGCUUCGAUCGGUAGGGGUUCUGAGAGGAAGGUCCCCACACUGGAACUGAGACACGGUCCAGACUCCUACGGGAGGCAGCAGUGAGGAAUAUUGGUCAAUGGGCGUAAGCCUGAACCAGCCAAGUAGCGUGCCAGGAUGACCGGCCCUAGUGGGUUGUAAACUGUCUUUUGCGAGGGGAAUAAAGUCAGCUACGUGUAGUUGUUUGUAUGUACCCUGAGAAUAAGGACCGGCUAAUUCCGUGCCAGCAGCCGC
rnacentral:rRNA from 1 species